rnacentral:pre_miRNA from 1 species
GACAUACUCCCUCUGUCCCGAAUUACUUGUCAUAGAAAUGGAUAAAAAUGGAUGUAUAUAAAACUAAAAUACAUCUAGAUACAUCCAUUUCUUCGACAAGUAAUUCCGGACGGAAGGAGUACAUC